UGUACCUACGAGGACCAUCUAUUACGAUCAGGCCUCAACAAUAUCAGGCAGAUACCUCUGUACCAAUAAACUACACAAUAUGCUCAGUUUCUAAUUCGGGGAAUAAUCCAACUAAUCUCGUUGUCCCUGAUCUCGAUGAGGUGGCAGAAAUGGUACGCGAGACCGUCUUUUAGCUUUACGGUUGAUUUGGGGCGUUCGGGUCAGCACCUAACACGUUUACAUACUGAAAAAUCAGUAGCCAAUAUUGAUUAAAAUCCUUCAUUUAAUCAAUCCAUAACUUUUACCCAACAACAAUGUCGAAACAACAAUUUACAUGUAAUUGCAUUUCCGCUUCCCGAUUUGUGAGAUCUAAAUGGUCAAUUGAUCAAGAACAUUUUUCUAUAAUUGACAUGUGAUUAAAGGCUGAUUAGGAGGAUUCAAGAACUCAAAUUAAUGCUGGAAAUAGAUGGGUUGGAACCAAGAAAUAAAACAACUCCCUUUCUUGCACAUAGGCGCACGUACCACCACCCACGGUGGCCAGAUUCGGGGCUAAUUUAAAAAAAAUUUAAAGAUCCAUUAAAAAUUUGAACAAAUAACUUUAAAAUAUUUAAAAUUCCCAUAAAUUCUAGAUCUGGAAAGUUAUGUUUUUAAUUGACAAGAUUAAUCCCAUAAACUACCCGAUAUGCUCAGUUUCUAAUCCGGGGAAUAAUCCAACUAAUCUCGUUGUCCCUGAUCUCGAUGAGGUGGCAGAAAUGGUACGCGCGAAUGUCUUUUAGCUUUACGGUUGAUUAGGGGCGUUCGUGUCAGCACCUAACACGUUUACAUACUAAAAAAUCAGUAGCCAAUAUUGAUUAAAAUCCUUCAUUUGAAAAAAUAAAUAGUUCAAGCACUC
rnacentral:lncRNA from 1 species